GGGAGGGCUCCGGGUCCCCCCCCUUUCCCUGAGGGGCAUUUUUGGGGGGCUUCAGAUCCCCCCCCCUCCUUGGGGGGCAUUUUUGGGUAACUGCAGCCCCCCCCUAUAGAUGGCACUGCCCCAUUCGGAGCCCCCCCCGCACCCCCACCCCCCCCGGCGCCGCUUUUCCCUUUGGGUUUUCCAGUUGUGCCUUAACCGGGGAGCAGCGCUCAGUGGGACAACAGUGGGACACCAAUGGGGCACCAAUGGGACCCCCCGUGUGACACCGAGGGGACACCAAUGGGACCCCAAUGGGACACCGGGACCCCCAGUGUGACACCAAUGGGACCCCAGUGAGACCCCCUGUGUGACACCAAGGGGACACCAAUGGGACACCAACGGGACCCCAGUGAGACCCCCAGUGUGACACCAAUGGGACCCCAAUGGGACCCCCCGUGUGACUCCAAUGGGACACCAACGGGACACCAAUGGGACACCGGGACCCCCAGUGUGACACCAAUGGGACCCCAGUGAGACCCCCAGUGUGACACCGAGGGGACACCGAGGGGACACCGGGACCCCCAGUGUGACUCCAAUGGGACACCAAUGGGACACCAAUGGGACUCCAAUGGGACACCAAUGGGACCCCCAGUGUGACACCAACGGGACCCCAAUGGGACCCCCCGUGUGACACCAACGGGACACCAAUGGGACACCAAUGGGACCCCCAGUGUGACACCGAGGGGACACCAGUGGGACCCCAGUGGGACACCGGGACCCCCAGUGUGACACCAACGGGACACCAAUGGGACACCAAUGGGACCCAAAGUGUGACACCAAUGGGACACCAAUGGGACACCAAUGGAACACCAAUGGGACCGCCAGUGUGACACCAAUGGGACCCCAAUGGGACCCCAGUGUGACUCCAAUGGGACACCAAUGGGACCCCCCCUGUGACACCGAGAAGACACCAAUGGAACACCAAUGGGACCCAAAGUGUGACACCAAUGGGACACCAAUGGGACCCCAGUGUGACUCCAAUGGGACCCCCAGUGUGACACCAAGGGGACACCAAUGGGACCCCCCGUGUGACACCAACGGGACACCAAUGGGACACCGGGACCCAAAGUGUGACACCGAGAGGACCCCCAGUGUGACACAAAGGGGACUCCAAUGGGACACCGGGACCCCCACUGUGACACCGAGGGGACACCGAGGGGACACCGGGACCCCCAGUGUGACUCCAAUGGGACCCCAGUGAGACCCCCAGUGUGACUCCAAUGGGACACCAACGGGACACCGGGACCGCCAGUGUGAUACCAGUGGGACCCCAGUGAGACCCCCAGUGUGACACCGAGGGGACACCGAGGGGACCCCAAUGGGACCCCAGUGUGACUCCAAGGGGACACCAAUGGUUCCCCCAGUGUGACACCGAGGAGACACCAAUGGAACACCAAGAAGACACCAAUGGGACCCCCAGUGUGACACCAGUGGGACACCAAUGGGACACCAAUGGGACACCAAUGGGACACUGGGACCCAAAGUGUGACACCGAGAGGACCCCCAGUGUGACACCAAUGGGACACCAAUGGGACACUGAGGGGACACCAAUGGGACCCACAGCGCCCCAAUGUGACACUGAGGGGACAGUGGGACCCCCAGCACUUUGAGGUGACCCGGAGGGGACCCCCACCACUCUGAUGUGACCCCGAGGGGACCCCCGAUGUGACACUGAGGGGACAGUGGGACCCCCAGCACUCUGAUGUGACCCCGAGUGGCCCCACACGGCUCCAUGGGACCCCACUGUGGGGCAGUGGUGGUUAUGCGGGGGGGUCGGGGGCUGCUGCCCCCCCCCACAGCCGCCCCCUGCAGAGCUGUCCCCCCCCCC
rnacentral:lncRNA from 1 species